rnacentral:rRNA from 1 species
AACGAACGCUGGCGGCAGGCCUCAAACAUGCAAGUCUAGGGGGUGUAGCAAUACAUCACCGGCGGACGGGUGCGUAACACGUGGGAAUAUACCUUUCGGUACGGAACAACUGCGGGAAACUGCAGCUAAUACCGUAUACGUCCUAGCGGAGAAAGAUUUAUCGCCGAAGGAUUAGCCCGCGUUCGAUUAGCUUGUUGGUGAGGUAAUGGCUCACCAAGGCGACGAUCGAUAGCUGUUCUGAGAGGAAGAUCAGCCACACUGGGACUGAGACACGGCCCAGACUCCUAUGGGAGGCAGCAGUUGGGAAUCUUGGACAAUGGGGGAAACCCUGAUCCAGCCAUGCCGCGUGAGUGAUGAAGGCCUUUCGGGUUGUAAAACUCUUUCGACGGGACGAUAAUGACGGUACCCGUAGAAGAAGCUCC